CAGCCGUAAACGAUGCGCGUUAGGUGUAUCGACGACCACGAGUCGUCGAGGUGCCGAAGGGAAACCGUGAAACGUGCCGCCUGGGAAGUACGGUCGCAAGGCUGAAACUUAAAGGAAUUGGCGGGGGAGCACCACAACAGGUGGAGCCUGCGGUUUAAUUGGACUCAACGCCGGAAAUCUCACCGGAUAAGACAGCAGAAUGAUUGCCGGGCUGAAGGCUCCGCAUGGCUAGCUGAGAGGAGGUGCAUGGCGUAGACGUCU
rnacentral:rRNA from 1 species